AGGCCUGUAGCUCAAUUGGUUAGAGCCGGCGGCUCAUAACCGCCUGGUUGGGGGUUCAAGUCCCUCCAGGCCUACCA
rnacentral:tRNA from 1 species